rnacentral:rRNA from 1 species
GACGGAGGGUGCAAGCGUUAUUCGGAAUCAUUGGGAGUAAAGAGCGUGUAGGCGGCCGGUUAAGUCAGGUGUGAAAGCCCGGGGCUCAACCUCGGAAGUGCACUUGAAACUGGUCGGCUUGAGUUCGGGAGAGGGAAGCGGAAUUCCUGGUGUAGAGGUGAAAUUCGUAGAUAUCAGGAGGAACACCGGUGGCGAAGGCGGCUUCCUGGACCGAAACUGACGCUGAGACGCGAAAGCGCGGGGAGCAAACAGG